AUUUGAGACGAACUAAUGCUUUAAGUAUUAAAAGAGAUUGAAAUCUCCUCAAAUCUU
rnacentral:tRNA from 1 species